ensembl:lncRNA
UUUGGGUUAACUAACCCUUUAAACAAAUUAAACAAACAUCUUCCCACCAUGUAUUUUUCCUCUUCCACGGUCGGUGAUGCAGGGAGUCUUGUGAUCGAUUGUCAAGCUGGAAUUAUGGCAUAUUUUAACGCUGGGUUGUGUUGAGCAAGCGAGCCGUCUGCGCUUAGAGAGCACUCAGGGCUGGUAUGAGAGGAGCAAGAAAGUGAAACUUUGCACAUGCGAAAGAGAACAUCUGCACACAUCCAAAUACUUAUUUUAAAAGCAAAAUUGAUUUUUGUACGCUCGAAAUAUUUUAUUAUCUGAGAGACAGAUAUUUCUCCGCAAAACUCGGUUCACACACGUGCGAAAUGCCCAUUCGCAUGCUCAAAAUGUGAUCUUGCGCACGCAGAAUUGUGACCGAAAUCUAACCCCAUAAACUUUUUGGGCAUUUAUAGUUUUUCGUAUUUAAAUGGUAAUAGUAUUUAGAAAUAUUGGAGAGUUACUUGUAAUUACUGUCAAAUAAUGUUUAUAUAAAGUAAACCCCCGUAUUUAAAUGGUAAUAGUAUUUAGAAAUAUUGGAGAGUUACUUGUAAUUACUGUCAAAUAAUGUUUAUAUAAAGUAAACCCCCGUAUUUAAAUGGUAAUAGUAUUUAGAAAUAUUGGAGAGUUACUUGUAAUUACUGUCAAAUAAUGUUUAUAUAAAGUAAACCCCCGUAUUUAAAUGGUAAUAGUAUUUAGAAAUAUUGGAGAGUUACUUGUAAUUACUGUCAAAUAAUGUUUAUAUAAAGUAAACCCCCGUAUUUAAAUGGUAAUAGUAUUUAGAAAUAUUGGAGAGUUACUUGUAAUUACUGUCAAAUAAUGUUUAUAUAAAGUAAACCCCCGUAUUUAAAUGGUAAUAGUAUUUAGAAAUAUUGGAGAGUUACUUGUAAUUACUGUCAAAUAAUGUUUAUAUAAAGUAAACCCCCGUAUUUAAAUGGUAAUAGUAUUUAGAAAUAUUGGAGAGUUACUUGUAAUUACUGUCAAAUAAUGUUUAUAUAAAGUAAACCCCCGUAUUUAAAUGGUAAUAGUAUUUAGAAAUAUUGGAGAGUUACUUGUAAUUACUGUCAAAUAAUGUUUAUAUAAAGUAAACCCCCGUAUUUAAAUGGUAAUAGUAUUUAGAAAUAUUGGAGAGUUACUUGUAAUUACUGUCAAAUAAUGUUUAUAUAAAGUAAACUACCGUAUUUAAAUGGUAAUAGUAUUUAGAAAUAUUGGAGAGUUACUUGUAAUUACUGUCAAAUAAUGUUUAUAUAAAGUAAACUACCGUAUUUAAAUGGUAAUAGUAUUUAGAAAUAUUGGAGAGUUACUUGUAAUUACUGUCAAAUAAUGUUUAUAUAAAGUAAACUACCGUAUUUAAAUGGUAAUAGUAUUUAGAAAUAUUGGAGAGUUACUUGUAAUUACUGUCAAAUAAUGUUUAUAUAAAGUAAACUACCGUAUUUAAAUGGUAAUAGUAUUUAGAAAUAUUGGAGAGUUACUUGUAAUUACUGUCAAAUAAUGUUUAUAUAAAGUAAACUACCGUAUUUAAAUGGUAAUAGUAUUUAGAAAUAUUGGAGAGUUACUUGUAAUUACUGUCAAAUAAUGUUUAUAUAAAGUAAACCCCCGUAUUUAAAUGGUAAUAGUAUUUAGAAAUAUUGGAGAGUUACUUGUAAUUACUGUCAAAUAAUGUUUAUAUAAAGUAAACCCCCGUAUUUAAAUGGUAAUAGUAUUUAGAAAUAUUGGAGAGUUACUUGUAAUUACUGUCAAAUAAUGUUUAUAUAAAGUAAACCCCCGUAUUUAAAUGGUAAUAGUAUUUAGAAAUAUUGGAGAGUUACUUGUAAUUACUGUCAAAUAAUGUUUAUAUAAAGUAAACCCCCGUAUUUAAAUGGUAAUAGUAUUUAGAAAUAUUGGAGAGUUACUUGUAAUUACUGUCAAAUAAUGUUUAUAUAAAGUAAACCCCCGUAUUUAAAUGGUAAUAGUAUUUAGAAAUAUUGGAGAGUUACUUGUAAUUACUGUCAAAUAAUGUUUAUAUAAAGUAAACCCCCGUAUUUAAAUGGUAAUAGUAUUUAGAAAUAUUGGAGAGUUACUUGUAAUUACUGUCAAAUAAUGUUUAUAUAAAGUAAACCCCCGUAUUUAAAUGGUAAAAAUAUGUAGAAAUAUUGGAGAGUUGCUUGUUAUUACCGUCAAAUAAUGUUUAUAUAAAGCAAUAACAGUUAAAAAUAUGUUUCCGAAACUUAAUAUCACAAGAUCUUGUGUUUUUUUGUACAGGAUAAAACCAAUAUUUAACAGGAAUUUACUGUAAAUAGAUUGAAUAAUGACAUAAAAUAAAAGUUUAAAUCGAUCAAUAUACUGGUAUUGG